UGGGGGAAGAAAAAAAUACCUACUGAAAGGAAGGAACUUCUGAGCAGCUCUGAAAAACUGGCGUUUUAGGAGGACAGGAACAGGACAGGACACGCACCUUCUUGCACCACACAGCAGCACCACCACCACCACCACAGACAUGUCGGACUCCGAAGCCGCCGCUGCCCCCGCCGAGGCCCCCGUCCCCGCUGCUUGUGCUAGCAUCAAGGCUGACCUGGACAAAUGUGUGGCCGAGAAGGGAGCUGAGGGCUGCAAAGAUCUGAUGGAGGCCUUCGCUGCUUGUGUGAAGAGCGCUGCCGAGGGGACGUCAUGAGGAGUCGCCCUCCAGCCUCCAAUGUCCACUGCACUGAGUCCUCCAAGUUCCCAGCAUUCCCUUCUGCACAACAGCACUGGACUGAAUGAUGACAACAACGAUGAUGAUGAUGAUGAUCGUAGCGCAACAUACACCGUGUUGAUUCGGGCUGAGUUUGGGAUCUGGCGGCAGUAACCACAGUUUCCUCCCCCCUCCUGUUUUAGGCUUAUCUGGUGUCCCUGUCUUACCGCCAUCCCUCUUCUCCCUCUACAGCUGACAUGCAGUACAUGGGCAAUUCCAGAGGGCCGAUGGGCUGUGAUGUAAAUUGUCGACUUGAAAUGAAUACUUAUAAAAGGAAAUAAAAGUAUCAAAAAAUUGG
ensembl:lncRNA